CUAGUUGAAUAAUGAAAACCUAUUGACAUAUUGUAUCUUAUGGAAUAUGUAUUUACAAAAUCUGCAAAUGGGAGAAAGGCUUAUUAUUGCCAUUACAAUAAUAUUUCUAGAUCGAGCAAGAAAAUAGUUACACCAGACUUAAUUUCAUUUAUUAUUAGUUGCUAUUAUGUAUGAUUACUGCUAGAAAUAUAACGUGCACUAUUAUAUCACGGAGUUCUGAUUUGCAGAGUCUUUAAAAAUCUGUUGCUUUCUGUAAAGGCUGCAAACUACUUAGACAUCAAAGGCUUACUGGAUGUGACAUGCAAGACUGUUGCAAAUAUGAUUAAAGGAAAAACACCAGAAGAAAUCCGCAAGACUUUCAAUAUUAAAAAUGACUUCACUGAAGAGGAGGAAGCCCAGGUACGCAAAGAAAACCAGUGGUGUGAAGAGAAAUGAAGCUUUGUGCCUGAUACCUAACAACACUGCAAGGAUUGUUCCAAAUAUCAGUUGCACUGCUCUGUUUAUAAUUGUUAAUAUUAGACAAAUGCAGCAGCAAAUGAAGUUGUACUAGUCUGGUGGUGUUCUCUUUGCAUGUGUAGCGUUUGAAUAUAGAUUUAAAUUCCAUGGUUUAAUCAGUGUAAUCUGAUUUCCUUAUUUUUCCUCUUCUCUAAAUAAAACUAAACUCCAUGCAAGUUCUGUAUGGCAAUUAGCACUGCAAACUAGACCUUCCAUGCUUCUGAAUGUUUCACUGUCACAUUAAAAUCCUCAGCAUGUCAGAAUUCAGAAGUCUCUGAACUUGUAAAUAAAAUUACUUGCAAAAGUUUUCUGAAACUGAA